CAAGCUCUCUGAGCGGCGACGCUAGCCACGAUUGGCUUCGUGGAUGCACAGAAAUACUCAAGGCGCUUGACGUCUGUGGCUCAUCUGUAUUGUUUUUCCCGGUACCACGGCAUGAAGGAGCUGGCCUCCCUCCCUUCCAUCAGCUGCGAGAUACUACAAGCACUGGGCUACAGCUGCAGCUAGCCCAUGGGUACCGUUCUGCGUCCUGUACUGCAUCUAGUUCGAAAGGCCAUGUGAAAGGCAGGUACCGGGGACCAUGACAUCAGUGAGCUGGCUUUCACCUUGUCCAAGGCAGCAGCGGAACACUACGGGCGGGACCCUGGAUCACUGCACCAUGGAUGCCGUCCUGUACCCUGCACGGCACUGCGUGUGGCUUAAGUGGCCAAGCAGAGGGUCAUUGCAUGACUUUUAUGAGGCGCCGCUAGCCAUUGUUUCAAACCACCCUGAAUCGUGGAUCAAGCCUUGCAAGAUGGAAGUUCUCUUUAGGCCCAGCGCCUCUUGAUGGAUCAAGUCUUGUACCCCAUUCCCUCGUGUCUUUCAUAUAAGUAAAUUGUUGGUAUUUC